GCAACAAAACAAACCUGUGCUUUCAGAUGAUCCUGUUUCACACUGUGUGACUGUACUAAACUAGGAGCUAAGGACUGCCAAACUCAUCAUAUUCUGCUGCAAGUAUGAGGUCCUGUUCCCACUCUCUUUGCCAUCAUGGAGCAAUGUUUGGAGAGCCCAGCAGCCUGUUCCUUCCCAUGGCUUCCGAGGAUUUUCAGGA